AUGAACGCUAGCUACAGGCUUAACACAUGCAAGUCGAGGGGCAGCAUGGUCUUAGCUUGCUAAGGCCGAUGGCGACCGGCGCACGGGUGAGUAACACGUAUCCAACCUGCCGUCUACUCUUGGACAGCCUUCUGAAAGGAAGAUUAAUACAAGAUGGCAUCAUGAGUCCACAUGUUCACAUGAUUAAAGGUAUUCCGGUAGACGAUGGGGAUGCGUUCCAUUAGAUAGUAGGCGGGGUAACGGCCCACCUAGUCUUCGAUGGAUAGGGGUUCUGAGAGGAAGGUCCCCCACAUUGGAACUGAGACACGGUCCAAACUCCUACGGGAGGCAGCAGUGAGGAAUAUUGGUCAAUGGGCGAGAGCCUGAACCAGCCAAGUAGCGUGAAGGAUGACUGCCCUAUGGGUUGUAAACUUCUUUUAUAAAGGAAUAAAGUCGGGUAUGCAUACCCGUUUGCAUGUACUUUAUGAAUAAGGAUCGGCUAACUCCGUGCCAGCAGCCGCGGUAAUACGGAGGAUCCGAGCGUUAUCCGGAUUUAUUGGGUUUAAAGGGAGCGUAGAUGGAUGUUUAAGUCAGUUGUGAAAGUUUGCGGCUCAACCGUAAAAUUGCAGUUGAUACUGGAUAUCUUGAGUGCAGUUGAGGCAGGCGGAAUUCGUGGUGUAGCGGUGAAAUGCUUAGAUAUCACGAAGAACUCCGAUUGCGAAGGCAGCCUGCUAAGCUGCAACUGACAUUGAGGCUCGAAAGUGUGGGUAUCAAACAGGAUUAGAUACCCUGGUAGUCCACACGGUAAACGAUGAAUACUCGCUGUUUGCGAUAUACAGCAAGCGGCCAAGCGAAAGCGUUAAGUAUUCCACCUGGGGAGUACGCCGGCAACGGUGAAACUCAAAGGAAUUGACGGGGGCCCGCACAAGCAGUGGAGUAUGUGGUUUAAUUCGAAGCAACGCGAAGAACCUUACCAGGUCUUGACAUCAAGUGACCGCCUAAGAGAUUAGGCUUUCCCUUCGGGGACACAAAGACAGGUGGUGCAUGGUUGUCGUCAGCUCGUGUCGUGAGAUGUUGGGUUAAGUCCCGCAACGAGCGCAACCCUUGUUGUCAGUUACUAACAGGUUCCGCUGAGGACUCUGACAAGACUGCCAUCGUAAGAUGUGAGGAAGGUGGGGAUGACGUCAAAUCAGCACGGCCCUUACGUCCGGGGCUACACACGUGUUACAAUGGGGGGGUACAGAGGGCCGCUACCACGCGAGUGGAUGCCAAUCCCAAAAACCUCUCUCAGUUCGGACUGGAGUCUGCAACCCGACUCCACGAAGCUGGAUUCGCUAGUAAUCGCGCAUCAGCCACGGCGCGGUGAAUACGUUCCCGGGCCUUGUACACACCGCCCGUCAAGCCAUGGGAGCCGGGGGUACCUGAAGUGCGUAACCGCGAGGAGCGCCCUAGGGUAAAACUGGUGACUGGGGCU
rnacentral:rRNA from 1 species